rnacentral:rRNA from 1 species
AUUGAACGCUGGCGGCAGGCUUAACACAUGCAAGUCGAGCGGGGAAAGGUAGCUUGCUACCUGACCUAGCGGCGGACGGGUGAGUAAUGCUUAGGAAUCUGCCUAUUAGUGGGGGACAACAUCUCGAAAGGGAUGCUAAUACCGCAUACGUCCUACGGGAGAAAGCAGGGGACCUUCGGGCCUUGCGCUAAUAGAUGAGCCUAAGUCGGAUUAGCUAGUUGGUGGGGUAAAGGCCUACCAAGGCGACGAUCUGUAGCGGGUCUGAGAGGAUGAUCCGCCACACUGGGACUGAGACACGGCCCAGACUCCUACGGGAGGCAGCAGUGGGGAAUAUUGGACAAUGGGGGGAACCCUGAUCCAGCCAUGCCGCGUGUGUGAAGAAGGCCUUUUGGUUGUAAAGCACUUUAAGCGAGGAGGAGGCUACCGAGAUUAAUACUCUUGGAUAGUGGACGUUACUCGCAGAAUAAGCACCGGCUAACUCU